rnacentral:rRNA from 1 species
UACGUAGGUGGCAAGCGUUGUCCGGAUUUACUGGGCGUAAAGAGCGCGCAGGCGGUCGUACAAGUCGCGUGUGAAAGCCCCCCGGCUCAACUGGGGAGGGUCACGCGAUACUGUUCGACUCGAAGGCAGGAGAGGGUAGUGGAAUUCCCGGUGUAGUGGUGAAAUGCGUAGAUAUCGGGAGGAACACCAGUGGCGAAGGCGACUACCUGGCCUGUUCUUGACGCUGAGGCGCGAAAGCUAGGGGAGCAAACGGG